GUAGAUAUAGUUUAACUAAAACGUUAGAUUGUGAUUCUAAAAACAGAGGUUAAAGUCCCCUUAUCCACC
rnacentral:tRNA from 1 species